rnacentral:lncRNA from 1 species
UCUCCCUCCCUGUUGUUGAAAGCCAAAGCUCCUCUUCAACCAGCAGCGAUUCCGACGGCCAUCACCAAGUUCCCCAGCAAAGCAUCAUCCUUCCACCUAGCAGUACCAUUGCUGCCGUAGCUGAUGCCUUGGAGAAGAAUGCUCAUAACUGGUACAGUACAUACAUGAAGCUAAGAGUCAGUUAGAUGACAACCAACCAAGUAGUAACACUACCAAACUUAAAAAAAAAGCUCCCUUUUUUACUGUUUCUACAUAGCUCAUUCAUUACUAUUGUGUCUAUUUUCUUAAUGAUCCAAAACUGUGCAGGCCUAUAACUCCCCAACUCCCAACAGAUCUAUCAGUUCAAGUCCAAGAUGCUACUUUCACUGUUCACAAGGUACCAGUUUCCUUUUCAAACUAUAAAAGUUAGCAACACAUCACAGGCUAUGUAUUCAUCAUAACCCAGGAUCUGUACAUCACAUUUCCUGCGAUCAUAUAACUAGGAUCAAUACUUGGAUCAUGAAAGGGUGGAUGUCGGUCCGGUUAAGGUAAACCGUGACCAGGUUUUGAACAGAUUAACCAAAUUUAGGGACAGGUUAUUUAGCAUUUAUCCUCCUGCAUGGCUUAGCAUAUUAGACCGUGAAUCAAAAUGAAUGACUUGAGCAAUCUUUGGUCUGCUACAGUUACCUUUGGUGUCGAAAUGCGGCUACAUAGCACAUUUGGAACUCCAGCCUUCAAUUUCAAACUUCGGCUAUGAAGUGAAGCUGGAAAACUUCCCAGGAGGAUCAGAGACAUUCGAAGCCGUCUUGAGAUUCUGCUACGGCCUCCCUCUAGAUUUAAACCCUCAGAACAUAGUUCCACUAAGAUGCGCAUCAGAGUACCUGGAGAUGAGUGAAGAUCUUGAAGAUGGAAACCUCAUCACAAAGACAGAAGCUUUCCUCACAUUUGUCAUUCUCUCUUCAUGGAAAGACACAAUCACUGUCCUUCAAUCCU